rnacentral:rRNA from 1 species
GAUGAACGCUGGCGGCGUGCUUAACACAUGCAAGUCGAACGGGAAACUUUUCAUUGAAGCUUCGGCAGAUUUGGUCUGUUUCUAGUGGCGGACGGGUGAGUAACGCGUGGGUAACCUGCCUUAUACAGGGGGAUAACAACCAGAAAUGGUUGCUAAUACCGCAUAAGCGCACAGGACCGCAUGGUCCGGUGUGAAAAACUCCGGUGGUAUAAGAUGGACCCGCGUUGGAUUAGCUAGUUGGCAGGGUAACGGCCUACCAAGGCGACGAUCCGUAGCCGGCCUGAGAGGGUGAACGGCCACAUUGGGACUGAGACACGGCCCAGACUCCGACGGGAGGCAGCAGUGGGGAAUAUUGCACAAUGGGGGAAACCCUGAUGCAGCGACGCCGCGUGAAGGAAGAAGUAUCUCGGUAUGUAAACUUCUAUCAGCAGGGAAGAUAGUGACGGUACCUGACUAAGAAGCCCCGGCUAACUACGUGCCAGCCGCCGCAGUAA